UCCCCUCAGCUGUGUGAGGAUGGCAUUUCACACCUCUCAUCUAUAAGCAGAGCUAAGACUCUCCCAGCUGUCUCACAUCACUCAUCAGUGAAGUGGGCACUAAUUAGAUAAACGCAUGCAGCUGUGGCAGCUCUUAUUGCCAUGCACCUGCGAGCACCGCGUCUGGUAGUUGCUGUGGUUGCUCUUGCUAGAAGGUGAGAGAAGUUCUGGUCUGCAUAAGCUGUCCCAUAACUGGGAACCUCUAUACCUUGGUUUUCUGGGGGUGAAGGGUGUUGUGAGCUCAGGAGGUGCCCCUGCAAGAAGUGGAGUAAAAGGAGCUGGAGACAAUAUUCCACACAGACCAACCCCUCUGGGAUCUUCUGCAGCUGCAUGGGUCUUGUGAUGGGCUGAGCUGUUCCUCAGGGAGAGAAAAAUGAAGGGACAGCAAUCAGGACCUCUACCCUUUGAUCUCUGUAGUCUUUCCAGGACGUUUUUCAGAGUCUGCAGGUGCACCACUGCCAUUUUCUGCAGAUAAGCCCACACAACUGUUCAAGGGGAAAUUGAUGGUGAAGGUAAACGUCCUAUGGUUCUGGAGAAAGUCUUGCUGACCCUGUAGGAUGUGAAAGACCAAUAAACUGUCAUUGUGUGAAGUGUCUUCUGUCUUCAUUUUGAACAGAGGAUGCAUCUGAAGGAGGUCUGAACCUUGAGAAAAAGGGGAGCUCGUUACUGACCGAGAGCUGCUGUGAGCAUGGACCUCUGCCAUUCCCUGGAUCAGUCCCAGAGUAAUCUCUUGUUGCACAGAUGUGGUGUGGUGUUAGCCUGCACUGGUUUUGAACUGAACCUAAAUCCAGCCUGCUUUCUUUGUUAUUACUGGGGGGGUGAUCUAUUUUCUUUGCUUGCUGUCUCGGAGCUCUCUCUGGAAAAAAAUUGAUGAUGGGGAUGUAUUCCUGGUCUUUCUUUCUCUGUCAAGCUGUCGUUUUCAUCAGCUCAAUUUUUAUGUUCCAGGCUGUGUCUGAACAGUUGUUGAAUGCCUAAUAGUACUUCCCUUUGCCAAGCUAAUCUACUGCUGGUACUUAAAAUUCAACUUCACAUGAAAUCUUUGGCAGCAAAAGAUCUAUGCUCAGUAGAACCUGUGAUAGUCGACAAAGAAUAUUUUGAACUCUAGGCUGUAGUCAGAGCUAUAACCGCAGAGGAAUUAAAUCACAGAUUUCAUCAUCAUGCUUUUUUAAGAGAGAGGAAUUAAUCAUAGAACAUUUGUUUAAAAAAAAAAAAAAUAUAGAUCAUAGUGACAAGAUCAGAGGGCUCUUCUAGCCAGGCUUCUUAACAGUGAAAAUUAUGUAGGCUAUGGCUUGAAUAUAGAGUGGAAUAUAGCUGUAGCAGUUUGUCUUAAUACUGUUGAGUUGCUGAGAUGGUCAGGUACCUUGUAUUGCAAAGUCUUUGAUAAGUUUAAGCCCAUGACAGGAGGCUGAAAUAAUUCCCCUGGACGGGUUAUUGUGCAAGAUGUC